rnacentral:tRNA from 1 species
GAAGCUCAGUGCAUGUGGUUAGAGCGUCCAACCGGCACCUGGAAGGUCAUGGGUUCGAUUCCCGUUGGGGAGCU